UUUGCAUCUGUGGACAUGGUUGCUGGUGGCAGCUUGGGAGAAAAAUGGAGUCUUUCCCCAGGGUGAUAAUUAUGUGCAGCAGAUUGAAUCCCUGCCCUUUCCUGCAUGGAAUCUACCUAUGUCUAUUGGGCUGAACUCCAGCAACUCACAGUUGAAAUCAAGAUUGCACUCUCAGGAUGCCUCAAGAAGCUGUGGAUGCUGUCCAGAGAAACUGUGGAUGCCCCA